rnacentral:rRNA from 1 species
AACAAACGCUGGCGGCGUGCCUAAUACAUGCAAGUCGAACGGGGAAAGCUUUCGGGCGAGUACUAGUGGCGCACGGGUGAGUAACGCGUGGAUAAUCUGCCUUAGAGUGGGGGAUAACUAGUCGAAAGAUUAGCUAAUACCGCAUAAGACCACAAGAACUGCGGUUCAAGGGGUCAAAGGUUUUUCGCUCUAAGAUGAGUCCGCGUAAGAUUAGCUAGUUGGUGAGGUAAUGGCUCACCAAGGCGACGAUCUUUAACUGGUCUGAGAGGAUGAUCAGUAACACUGGAACUGAGACACGGUCCAGACUCCUACGGGAGGCAGCAGUAGGGAAUAUUGCACAAUGGAGGAAACUCUGAUGCAGCGACGCCGCGUGAGUGAUGAAGGCCUUCGGGUCGUAAAGCUCUGUCGCAAGGGAAUAACACAAUGAAUGUACCUUGCAAGAAAGGAUCGGCUAACUUCGUGCCAGCCGCCGCCGUAAAAC